CCAUGCAUGUCUAAGUAUAAGCGAUUGUACAGCGAAACUGCGAAUGGCUCAUUANAUCAGUUAUAGUUUAUUUGAUAGUCCCUUACUAAACGGAUAACCGUAGUAAUUCUAGAGCUAAUACGUGCGUGAAGUCUGUUGCGACCCCGUGUCGUGGCGGAUGUAUUUAUUAGAUGUAGCCAACCCGGCUUGCCGGUACGUGGUGAAUCAUAAUAACUUGUCGAAUCGCAGUGCCUUGUGCGGCGAUGGUUCAUUCAAGUUUCUGCCCUAUCAGCUUUCGAUGGUAGGGUAUUGGCCUACCAUGGCAUUGACGGGUAACGGAGAAUUAGGGUUCGAUUCCGGAGAGGGAGCCUGAGAAACGGCUACCACAUCCAGGGAAGGCAGCAGGCGCGUAAAUUACCCAAUCCUAACACANNNAGGUAGUGACAAUAAAUAACAAUACAGAACUCUUCGAGUUAUGUAAUUGGAAUGAGAACAAUUUAAAUCCCUUAUCGAGUAUCAAUUGGAGGGCAAGUCUGGUGCCAGCAGCCGCGGUAAUUCCAGCUCCAAUAGCGUAUAUUAAAGCUGUUGCAGUUAAAAAGCUCGUAGUUGAAUUUCUGGGCCGGGCGCCGGUCCACCCUUUGUGGUGCGCACUUGGUUGCCUGGUUCAUUUUUGUGGGGUGCUGCCUGGC
rnacentral:rRNA from 1 species